rnacentral:misc_RNA from 1 species
AGUCAGUUCGUAUUGGACUGGGCUGUUUUUCAUUGUUUCUCAGGUAAUUGUUGUUAUGGUUUUGUAAGUUUCUUAUGCAGGAUAAUGGCCUUGCUAGUUUUGAGUGUUGAGGAAAUUUAUUUUUGAAAAUAGUUCUGUUUCAAAUGUAUAGAGGAAGCAGGAUGUUACUUACUGAAGUUUCUGUUAAAUUGUCAUUUAUUUGUGUGGGUCUUCUUUUUUCUCCAUUAAUGUAGUUAUAUUUGGUGUGGGGCGUUAAAGCCUGGGUUGAAUUUGGUUUGUGGAGUUACGUCUGGGGUAUCUUUGGUCUAGAAGGAGUCUUUUCCUGAGUCAUUUCAUAUCUAAAUUACUUUAUCUGUAACCAUGCCUUUCUCACCUAUUAAUGAAUUGUCUACCUCUCACUGUUUCUUCCGACUCCUGUUGCAUUUAAGGCCUAGAGUCAUGUAUAUUACUAGAUAGUACUUCUGAUUACUGUAUAUGACCAAUAAUUAACUUAGAGCAUUUAUCAAAUGUUUUGUUACUAGCAUCAUAAUCGAGUUUUUCAUUUGGUAUUGUAUUGCUUGUAUCUUGCUUGAAUAAUUAGCAUUGCACUGUUUAUGGAAAAUCAUUGGAAGUGUAGGUGUUUUUGUUGGCCAACCAUUGAUUUACCAAUUCCUACUCCUGUUGCAUUUAAGGCCUAGAGUCAUGUAUAUUACUAGAUAGUACUUCUGAUUACUGUAUAUGACCAAUAAUUAACUUAGAGCAUUUAUCAAAUGUUUUGUUACUAGCAUCAUAAUCGAGUUUUUCAUUUGGUAUUGUAUUGCUUGUAUCUUGCUUGAAUAAUUAGCAUUGCACUGUUUAUGGAAAAUCAUUGGAAGUGUAGGUGUUUUUGUUGGCCAACCAUUGAUUUACCAAU